UACGGAGGGUGCAAGCGUUAAUCGGAAUUACUGGGCGUAAAGGGUUCGUAGGUUGUUGUAUAAGUUAUCUGUAAAAUCCCUGGGCUUAACCUGGGCAGGUCAGAUAAGACUGUAUGACUCGAGUAUUGGAGAGGGUAGUGGAAUUUCCGGUGUAGCGGUGAAAUGCGUAGAGAUCGGAAGGAACACCAGUGGCGAAGGCGGCUACCUGGCCAAAUACUGACACUGAGGAACGAAAGCGUGGGGAGCAAACAGG
rnacentral:rRNA from 1 species